rnacentral:lncRNA from 1 species
GAAGCAUUGCCCUAACGGCCGUCUGCGCUCACCUUGGCUCUUCUUCCAGACGGCGUUGGAGGCCGAUGGGCCAUGGCUGGGCGAGCAGGGCCGCAGGCGGGGCUGGGCCGUGGGCAGGCUGAAGGGCACCGGGGGGUGCACGUAGGAGAGGAAUGGCACCGAGGAAGGGGGAGGAGGAGGAGGAGGCCCCGAGAAGCGAGUCAAGGGAGAAGUUGGGCAGAGCUUCAUCCUUCUCCGUCUUCAUGGCCGCUGCAGGACACGGGGCUCUCCUCUUCUUCGUGGUGCUGCAGCCAACAGAGGAGCAGGGAUUAACACUCAGCACGGAGCAACAACCACCUCCUCCUGCUCUUCUCUGGGUGUUAAAAGCCAUCCCCCUCCCUCCCCACCUCUCCCACCCCACGUAUGGUCCCCAAAGCAAGCAAAUGUCACUCCCUCUGCCACGUGCCAUGGGACACUGCCCCCAUGCAUCACCAGCUUCUAGGGUCAGGUGCAGCACAGCAUCCAUAGGCAAAUCCUACCCUGGACCCACAGGACUUCUCCCCCCCCUCCCCCCCCAGGUGACACAGUAAUGGAGGUAUUUCCUCAGCUUUUGAGGGGAAAAUCAGCUUAAAACACAUGGUUUUGGGGUGCUGUGGGUCUGCAACCUGUAUUGGGAAGCACAGCCCGGAUGGAUGGGGGGGUUCUCAGCACAUGGGGUGACACUGAAAGGAGCUGCUGGGGUUGGUGCUGGGGCCCUCAAGCAGUGUCCAUCCCAGGGGCUGGCAGCCCCCAUACACCACAGCUUCCAAUGAAUUUCCUGAUUUCUUGAAAAAAAAACAAACUUGGGAAAACUGCC